rnacentral:rRNA from 1 species
UACGUAGGGUGCGAGCGUUUGUCCGGAAUUAUUGGGCGUAAAGAGCUCGUAGGCGGUGUGUCACGUCGUUCGUGAAAACCUGCAGCUUAACUGUGGGCGUGCGGUCGAUACGGGCAUCACUGGAGUUCGGCAGGGGAGACUGGAAUUCCUGGUGAUAGCGGUGAAAUGCGCAGAUAUCAGGAGGAACACCGAUGGCGAAGGCAGCCCCCUGGGUUAACACUGACGCUCAUGCACGAAAGGCGUGGGGAGCGAACAGG